CCUACGGGAGGCUGCAGUGGGGAAUUUUGGACAAUGGGCGCAAGCCUGAUCCAGCCAUGCCGCGUGGGUGAAGAAGGCCUUCGGGUUGUAAAGCCCUUUCGGGGACCGUGCGGUACCCACAGAAGAAGCACCGGCUAACUACGUGCCAGCAGCCGCGGUAAUACGUAGGGUGCAGGCGUUAAUCGGAAUUACUGGGCGUAAAGCGUGCGCAGGCGGUUUGCUAAGACAGGUGUGAAAUCCCCGGGCUUAACCUGGGAACUGCGCUUGUAACUGGCAAGCUAGAGUGUGGCAGAGGGGGGUGGAAUUCCACGUGUAGCAGUGAAAUGCGUAGAUAUGUGGAGGAACACCGAUGGCGAAGGCAGCCCCCUGGGCUAAACUGACGCUCAUGCACGAAAGCGUGGGGAGCAAACAGGAUUAGAUACCCUUGUAGUC
rnacentral:rRNA from 1 species